CAUGCUCACACUUAAACAGGUUAGAAGAGUAUAUUUUGUUUCACGAUUAUGGUAAAUUCUUAGUAUUACAAUUGGAUUGACAAUAAAUAGUUGUACAAUUGGUAAACUUUCAGGAGCGUUGUUGGCCUUUGUAAUGUUUUGAGUCUUUUAAUGUUUGUGAAAAGCAUAAUCGACGAUUAAGCGUGUUUUAGACUUUUAGUACUAGAAGAUGCGUGUUUCAUUACUUUAUUCCGUUGCAGAUUUCAAGGGAAUCUGAUAUACUAAUCAUUCAACGUGCUCCUCGUUUAUGGCCGUCUAUAGUUGUGAAAGAAAUAGAGAAUUGACUUUGGGAUGUUGUUCCAAAAUAAUGUUAUGAAAUUUAGUAGCGAGAGGCCCAAUAAAAUCUUAGAAAGGCCCAAAAAAAAAUGGGUUAGAUCCACUCGAAAGUGGAGAGCCUUAAGGUCAGGACCCGAAGGUCAACCCCGUCUCUGUCAGAGGAGAUGCCAACCAUCUCUCCUUUCUAUGAACACAAUCGAAUCCACUAGUCUUUCUAUAUAUAUACACAAACCAAAAACUACCAAAGUUCCGAUGCGGUAUUAUUUAUAUGAGUUUGCAAGAAAAAUUCCACUACUCAUGCCACUUUUAAGAUUUCUUUUCUGUGUCGUUAAUUUUGGA